rnacentral:misc_RNA from 1 species
CGGGGGGAGAGCGAGAACCGAAGCAAGGUCAAGGAGUUCAGAAUGGCAGUUGAACUAUUCCUCACCCAGACAUCAUGCCCGAUACAUCUCUCCAGUCACCACGCUACCACUGACCUCUCGAGUCUACGCAGCCCAGUGUCCGUCUCUGCCUUGUCUUCGGGUGUGACGUGAAACGGCAACGGGGAGCUUGACCUACGUGACGGAUGUUUUUCGUGUGGCGGAGUGACGUGCAGCUGCUGUGGAGCCUAGCGGAGCACGCCACGGGCGUUGAUGAUCCAAAGGCCUGACUCCACAGCAAUGAGUCUCCUCUAUCAGAGACUACCUUGCAUUGCGCUUUCACUGAUAACGCCUACUACUAACACCCCUGCCUCGCCAUCGCUGCAACAUCAGGGCAGGACUAUCUUGCGUCGCGCCCCCACACACAUUGUACUCUAACACCUAACACCGCCGCUCAGAGAUACUGGUUGAGUGGGUGAUAACGAGGCGAAGCAGGUGUGGUGAGGAGGCGGAUUGGCGACGAGAACCAGCUGAUGACGGCAGACAUAAGAUUCCAUUAACCAGGAAUUGGCGGUCCAAAGAAUCUACAGCGAUCCCGUGACUCCUGCACCCUCAGGGAGGGAAUCUGGCUUCGCACGGCCUUCACUGACCCCUUCCCCCUUCCACCGCUACCGUCGCCGUUACUGCCACUGUGGGACUCUGCCUCGCAGCGCAUCCCAGCGGCCCGGCAAACCCCUGCUACUACCACCGCCAUCCCCUCCGCUUCCGCCGUCGUCCAGCGAGGGAUUCAGCUUAGAAUCGCACACCUGCCGCCGCAGCAGCAGCAGCAGCAAGGAUUCUGCAUGGCACCUUUGACCUGCGCUGCUAUCACCUACUACUACUGGUACUCCUAGUGGUGUGGUGGUAGUGUUGGUGGCCAGGGAGGGAAGAGUUGCGUGGCAGUCGGUCUUCCCUCACUCUGUGGGUGGUAGAUGUAUUUAGACAGGUGUGGUGUUGUGGUGCCAUUAUUCUAUUGUAAUAAAUUGUGGUGCCUUUAUUCUAUUGUAAUAAACUGUCUUCACUGCUUCAUUGUCACUAUACUGAAAGCUUUUGUCACUACUGAAUAAAUUGUGAAGAAAUC